AUAGAAUACCUGGUCGUGAGCUUCUGCAAUUGAAAAAUACACAUGCCAAUUCAAGAUCCACGGAGAACUGCGUGCCAGCACCGUCCUGCUAAGAAGAUGGCGAUUAGUGUGAGACCAGCCCUGGAUAUUUUCUUGUGCAACAACAAUGCGCCGAAGAAACGCAGAGAGAGAUGCUUCGCUCCGUGACCGUGGUAUCGCCAGCCGACGCACGCAUUUGCGGAUACUUGGGGGUCACCACUUCUGUCUGGCUAGACGACACGUCUGUCCGGUAAGCGGCGUAUUUCGCUAACUGUCAACUAUGGAAGAUAAGGAAAAAAUGAGUGACCAGCGUCGCGGCGUAUUGUGUUUCAAGAACUGAUGGUGUCUGUUUUCGCUACUUCGUUGAUGGAAAAUCUCCGCAGCUACCUGCUUCGAUAGACAGUGGUCACUAUUUUGGUUUUGUUUUCCUGCUUUGAUAACAAUACAGACUUCUAGCAAUUGGUAGAAGCAAGUUGGUACAUAGAACUUCCAAAACUUCCUUUAAACUUCUCCAGUUCAAAAAAGAAAAAACAUUUGGUGCUUUCUAUUUAGUGACACAAGUCGACACAAACGUCAUUCUAUCUUACUUAACAUUUAGUGAGUAACAAAGACAAAACGAUACUUGUGUGUCACUAACAAUAAGUCACACAAGUGAUUAGUGACACACAAAAUUGUGUGUCAUUUUUUAUUUUCGAUGUCAAAUCAAAAAUUGCAAUUUCUCAAUGAAUACUUCUAACUUCAGUGGAUAUUCAGAGGAUAACUAUAUGUAUGAAGAAAUGUAAUAGAUAUACAGUUAACCUUUAAACCACACCCAAAAAAUCGCACUAAUCACAAUAUCGGUCUAAGAGACCACUAUUAUGCUUCCGCUAAUUUUAUAAGUUAAUUAUAAUAAAAAUGUAUUUUUUCUGAAUACUUGUUGAUGGGGAAAAGAAAAAC